AUUGAACGCUGGCGGCAGGCCUAACACAUGCAAGUCGAGCGGAUGGCGGGAGCUUGCUCCUUGAUUCAGCGGCGGACGGGUGAGUAAUGCCUAGGAAUCUGCCUGGUAGUGGGGGACAACGUUUCGAAAGGAACGCUAAUACCGCAUACGUCCUACGGGAGAAAGCAGGGGACCUUCGGGCCUUGCGCUAUCAGAUGAGCCUAGGUCGGAUUAGCUAGUUGGUGGGGUAAUGGCUGACCAAGGCGACGAUCCGUAACUGGUCUGAGAGGAUGAUCAGUCGCACUGGAACUGAGACACUGUCCAGACUCCUACGGGAGGCAGCAGUGGGGAAUAUUGGACAAUGGGCGAAAGCCUGAACCAGCCAUGCCGCGUGUGUGAAGAAGGUCUUCGGAUUGUAAAGCACUUUAAGUUGGGAGGAAGGGCAGUAAGUUAAUACCUUGCUGUUUUGACGUUACCGACAGAAUAAGCACCGGCUAACUCUGUGCCAGACGCCGCGGUAA
rnacentral:rRNA from 1 species